GACGAACGCUGGCGGCGUGCUUCCCCCCUGCACGUCGACCGCUGAUCUCCCGCUUGCGGGGGUGAUUAGUGGCGAACGGGUGAGUAAUACGUGAGUAACCUGCCCUUGACUCUGGGAUAAGCCUGGGAAACCGGGUCUAAUACUGGAUACUACUUCCUGCCGCAUGGUGGGGGGUGGAAAGGGUUUUACUGGUUUUGGAUGGGCUCACGGCCUAUCAGCUUGUUGGUGGAGUAAUGGCUCACCAAGGCGACGCAGGGUAGCCGGCCUGAGAGGGUGACCGGCCACACUGGGACUGAGACACGGCCCAGACUCCUACGGGAGGCAGCAGUGGGGAAUAUUGCACAAUGGGCGGAAGCCUGAUGCAGCGACGCCGCGUGAGGGAUGACGGCCUGCGGGUUGUAAACCUCUUUCAGCAGGGAAGAAGCCACAAGUGACGGUACCUGCAGAAGAAGCGCCGGCUAACUACGUG
rnacentral:rRNA from 1 species